GAGGGGGAUAACAUUCUGAAAAGAAUGCUAAUACCGCAUGACAUAUCGGAACCACAUGGUUUUGAUAUCAAAGAUUUUAUCGCUUGAAGAUGGACUCGCGUCCGAUUAGUUAGUUGGUGAGGUAACGGCUCACCAAGACCGCGAUCGGUAGCCGGACUGAGAGGUUGAACGGCCACAUUGGGACUGAGACACGGCCCAGACUCCUACGGGAGGCAGCAGUGGGGGAUAUUGCGCAAUGGGGGCAACCCUGACGCAGCAACGCCGCGUGAAGGAUGAAGGUUUUCGGAUUGUAAACUUCUUUUAUUAAGGACGAAAAAUGACGGUACUUAAUGAAUAAGCUCCGGCUAACUACGUGCCAGCAGCCGCGGUAAUACGUAGGGAGCAAGCGUUGUCCGGAUUUACUGGGUGUAAAGGGUGCGUAGGCGGCUUUGCAAGUCAGAUGUGAAAUCUAUGGGCUCAACCCAUAAACUGCAUUUGAAACUGUAGAGCUUGAGUGAAGUAGAGGCAGGCGGAAUUCCCCGUGUAGCGGUGAAAUGCGUAGAGAUGGGGAGGAACACCAGUGGCGAAGGCGGCCUGCUGGGCUUUAACUGACGCUGAGGCACGAAAGCGUGGGUAGCAAACAGGAUUAGAUACCCUGGUAGUCCACGCUGUAAACGAUGAUUACUAAGUGUGUGGGGGGUCUGACCCCUUCCGUGCCGGAGUUAACACAAUAAGUAAUCCACCUGGGGAGUA
rnacentral:rRNA from 1 species